AACGAACGCUGGCGGCAUGCCUAACACAUGCAAGUCGAACGAGACCUUCGGGUCUAGUGGCGCACGGGUGCGUAACGCGUGGGAACCUGCCCUUAGGUUCGGAAUAACUCCCCGAAAGGGGUGCUAAUACCGGAUAAUGUCUUCGGACCAAAGAUUUAUCGCCUUUGGAUGGGCCCGUUGGAUUAGCUAGUUGGUAGGGUAGAAGCCUACCAAGGCGACGAUCCAUAGCUGGUCUGAGAGGAUGAUCAGCCACACUGGGACUGAGACACGGCCCAGACUCCUACGGGAGGCAGCAGUGGGGAAUAUUGGACAAUGGGCGAAAGCCUGAUCCAGCAAUGCCGCGUGAGUGAUGAAGGCCUUAGGGUUGUAAAGCUCUUUUACCCGGGAUGAUAAUGACAGUACCGGGAGAAUAAGCUCCGGCUAACUCCGUG
rnacentral:rRNA from 1 species